rnacentral:rRNA from 1 species
AUAGCGGAGGAAAGAAACCAACAGGGAUUGCCCUAGUAACGGCGAGUGAAGCGGCAACAGCUCAAAUUUGAAAGCUGGCUCCGGCCCGCAUUGUAAUUUGCAGAGGAUGCUUUUGGUGAGGUGCCUUCCGAGUUCCCUGGAACGGGACGCCACAGAGGGUGAGAGCCCCGUAUGGAUGGACACCAAACCUGUGUAAAGCUCCUUCAACGAGUCGAGUAGUUUGGGAAUGCUGCUCAAAAUGGGAGGUAAAUCUCUUCUAAAGCUAAAUACCGGCCAGAGACCGAUAGCGCACAAGUAGAGUGAUCGAAAGAUGAAAAGCACCUUGAAAAGGGGGUUAAACAGUACGUGAAAUUGUUGAAAGGGAAGCGUUUGUGACCAGACUUGCGCCGGGCAGCUCAUCAGGGGUUCUCCCCUGUGCACUCUGCCCGGCUCAGGCCAGCAUCGGUUCUCGUGGGAGGAUAAGAACGGUGGGAAUGUGGCCCCCUCUCGGGGGGGUGUUAUAGCCCGCCGUACGAUACUCCCGUGGGGACCGAGGUUCGCGCUCCGCAAGGAUGCUGGCGUAAUGGUCAUCAACGACCCGUCUUGAAACACGGACCAAGGAGUCGUCCAUUAGAGCGAGCGUUUGGGUGUAAAACCCGCACGCGUAAUGAAAGUGAACGCAGGUGAGAGCUUCGGCGCAUCAUCGACCGAUCCUGAUGUUCUCGGAUGGAUUUGAGUAAGAGUUUUAACGGACGGACCCGAAAGACAGUGAACUAUGCUUGUAUAGGGUGAAGCCAGAGGAAACUCUGGUGGAGGCUCGCAGCGGUUCUGACGUGCAAAUCGAUCGUCAAAUAUGAGCAUGGGGGCGAAAGACUAAUCGAACUGUCUAGAACUGGGUACCCCA